rnacentral:rRNA from 1 species
GAUGAACGCUGGCGGCGUGCCUAAUACAUGCAAGUCGAACGCUGGAAAUCUAGCUUGCUCGAUUGAAGGAGUGGCGAACGGGUGAGUAAUACAUAAGCAACCUACCCACGAAGACUGGGAUAAUCUCUGGAAACGGGGACUAAUACCGGAUAGGUAAUCGGAAGGCAUCUUCUGAUUAUUAAAGGUUAAAAACACUGGUGGAUGGGCUUAUGGCGCAUUAGUUAGUUGGUGAGGUAACGGCCCACCAAGACGAUGAUGCGUAGCCGGCCUGAGAGGGUGAACGGACACAUUGGGACUGAGACACGGCCCAGACUCCUACGGGAGGCAGCAGUAGGGAAUUUGCGGCAAUGGGGGAAACCCUGACCGAGCAACGCCGCGUGAGUGAUGACGGCCUUCGGGUUGUAAAGCUCUGUUGUAAGGGAAGAACGGUAGAUAGAGAAUAUCUAAAUGACGGUACCUUACCAGAAAGCCACGGCUAACUACGUG